rnacentral:lncRNA from 1 species
UCCAAACAAGAUCCAAUAGCCAGAAUUAAGGGAUGCAGGUUUGAUAUGAUUUUAAGGAUUUUUGGGACUCCAUUUGCUAUCAGAAAAAGAUGAAAAAUUUAUCUUUAAAUAAAGAGAUCUAAGAAUAAAAGAAAGCAAUAAAAAUUAAUUAAAAAAUAAGAAAAAAAUAGAAAAAAAAUUAAAAAGAUUUAAGGAUCCAAAGAGAAGAAAGAGAGAAGUCGAUUCAUUCCAUGA